rnacentral:rRNA from 1 species
UACGUAGGGGGCAAGCGUUAUCCGGAUUUACUGGGUGUAAAGGGAGCGUAGACGGCAGCGCAAGUCUGGAGUGAAAUGCCGGGGCCCAACCCCGGAACUGCUUUGGAAACUGUGCAGCUGGAGUGCAGGAGAGGUAAGCGGAAUUCCUAGUGUAGCGGUGAAAUGCGUAGAUAUUAGGAGGAACACCAGUGGCGAAGGCGGCUUACUGGACUGUAACUGACGCUGAGGCUCGAAAGCGUGGGUAGCGAACAGG